rnacentral:rRNA from 1 species
UACGGAGGGGGGCGAGCGUUUAUUCGGAAUUAUUGGGCGUAAAGGGCGCGUAGGCGGCUAGACAAGUCAAAGGUGAAAUCCCUCGGCUCAACCGAGGAACGUCGAUCGAUACUGCUGUUCUUGAGGAUUGCAGAGGAGACUGGAAUUCCCCGGUGUAGCGGUGAAAAUGCGUAGAUAUCAGGAGGAACACCGGUGGCGAAGGCGGCUAUCUGGACAGAAAACUGACGCUGAGGCGCGAAAGCUAGGGGAGCAAACAGG